AAGUUAUUUUAGGUGGGAUUUUAUAAGUCCUUUUCACCCAAAAUCAAUUCCCAAUCGUGAAAUCACCCAAAGCUUCCAAAAUAUCCCAAAACCCCGCCCUAAUCGAUUGCCCAACACCGUUCACCGUCUUCGACUAGCAGUAGCUUACACCGCUGCCACGAACUUCUUCACCAUCAUCAUGCGAUCUUAACCCUGUCCAUCAAACAAACUAAUCGGCUAUCGUUUGUCACGAAUUUGGUAGAAAACGUUUGAAGAUCCGUCUCCUUUUCCAACCAAUACUGGGCAGUGAUCGUCACCAUUAACACCGAUCGAAGCACCUUGUACGUCCGACCAAAACCCCUAUCUUCCCUUUCCUUGAAACGUCAUUGUUCGUCGUGAAUCGGCGUUUGUUUGCUCGCCAAAACCCAAAUCGCUGCCCACUGUCUCCUUUAAUUUCUGGUCAAUCCCAACGUUGGUUUGCUUAACCGCCUCCACUACUGUGUUCUCCGAUCAAUUUCGAUCAAAACUCCGUCGAUGGUGUUACCUUAUCGUCGCAUCUUCGUCGUCCGAUGUUGGGAGCUUGAAUAGGGAGUAAUCGACCAUCGGAACCGAUCCCGUCAUAGUCUUCACACACCACCAUGAACCACCGUCAUGCAGAGGGCUUCUCGGCUGGCUAUGAACCUUCUAGAACCAGUCUAGUUGGAUCGAACCGGUUUGAAUUGGUCUGCCUUAGAUCAAAUUGAUUUUAUGAGACAUCGAAUUCAAGUUCAAGGGCGACCAAAUAUAUUUUAAAUGGUCGAUCAAUGUGGCUCGAAAAUCAAGGUAAUACAUUACUAGUUUUUGCAUACUUUGUGGAACACUUGGUAUUGGUUGCUUGAAUUAAUGUUAUUGGUCAUUUACGUAUAGUUAACUAUCGAUGACUCGAACUAAAUACGAUAUAAAGUUAGUAAACUU